rnacentral:rRNA from 1 species
GACGAACGCUGGCGGCGUGCUUAACACAUGCAAGUCGAACGGUGAAGCGCCUUCCUUUUUGGUGGGUGUGGAUGAGUGGCGAACGGGUGAGUAACACGUGAGUAACCUGCCCCCUUCUUCUGGAUAACCGCAUGAAAGUGUGGCUAAUACGGGAUAUUCUGGGUCUGUCGCAUGAUGGGUCUGUGAAAGAUAUUGUUUCGGUGGGGGAUGGGCUCGCGGCCUAUCAGCUUGUUGGUGGGGUGAUGGCCUACCAAGGCGGUGACGGGUAGCCGGCCUGAGAGGGUGGACGGUCACACUGGGACUGAGACACGGCCCAGACUCCUACGGGAGGCAGCAGUGGGGAAUAUUGCACAGUGGGCGCAAGCCUGAUGCAGCGGCGCCGCGUGAGGGAUGGAGGCCUGCGGGUUGUGAACCUCUUUCGCCAGUGAAGCAGGCCUGCCUCGUUUGUGGGUGGGUUGACGGUAGCUGGAGAAGAAGCGCCGGCUAACUACGUG